GACGAACGCUGGCGGCGUGCUUAACACAUGCAAGUCGAACGGAAAGGCGCUGAUCUUGUGCCGUGCUCGAGUGGCGAACGGGUGAGUAACACGUGAGUAACAUGCCCUUGACUUUGGGAGAUAUUUACGAAAAAGGGGCGCAUAUCGCAUAGGAUCUCCUGCUGCGUGUGGGGGGUUGGUAAGAUUCGGCGUUUGUGGAUCGUCUAGAGGGUUCUCCGCUGGAUGGGCGGGUAGUGGCUUACCAAGGUUAUGAAGGGUAGGCGGCCUGGGAGGGUUACCGGGCACAAUGGGACUGAGAUACGGACCAGACUCCUACGGGAGGCAGCAGGGGGGAAUAUUGCACAAUGGGCGGGAGCCUGAUGCAGCAACGCCGCGUGCGUGAUGACGGCCUUCGGGUUGUGAACCGCUUUCGCCUGAGACGAAGCGGGAGUGACGGUAAUGGGUAAAGAAGCACCGGCUAACUACGUG
rnacentral:rRNA from 1 species